UACAGAGGGGGCGAGCGUUGUUCGGAAUUACUGGGCGUAAAGCGCACGUAGGCGGAUACUUAAGUCAGGGGUGAAAUCCCGGGGCUCAACCCCGGAACUGCCUUUGAUACUGGGUAUCUCGAGUCCGGAAGAGGUGAGUGGAAUUCCGAGUGUAGAGGUGAAAUUCGUAGAUAUUCGGAGGAACACCAGUGGCGAAGGCGGCUCACUGGUCCGGUACUGACGCUGAGGUGCGAAAGCGUGGGGAGCAAACAGG
rnacentral:rRNA from 1 species